AGUGCUUGAGCUGGUCCUUGAGCUGGUAAAAUUACUUGGAAAAAGCAGGGUUUUUUCUUUUUUUAUUCAAGAUAGGAGAUGUUCAGGGGAAGAAAGCAUUGGCAUCCUGUUGGAAUUUUCAAAAAGUCCUUUGUACUACGAGUCGAACCAGCAAGAAAAAUCCGUCGGCGUGUGCACAGAGGAGCCGUUACAUUGGUGGUCGAAAGACAAAUGAGACUCAACGAUUUAGAGAGAAGCUGAGGAAACUGAUUUCUUACCAUCUAGAAUAUUGAGAAUCAUCGCCAGAACAGGUCCAGAAGUCGGC